rnacentral:lncRNA from 1 species
GUAAAAAAAUCAAAAAUUCUAAUAUAACUUGAAUCCCAGAAAAUAUAUACAACACAUAAAUUUGAAUAAUAUAUGUUAAAUGUUUAAAAUAAAAGAAAAUUUGUUUGGUUUGGAUAUUUAGAUGGAAAAUCAGUUAGUAUUUGGAUAUUUUCGUUGUUUUAAAUAUAUUUUAAUUUUUUGGAUAUUUAUUUUGACUAGUUUUGGAUAUUAUUCAAGUAUUUUGGAUAUAUUUGA